CUAGGCAAUCCGCGUGCCAGUGGCACUUCAUAGAAAAGCUGUCUGGGAUGGGGCCUCUUACCUGUUGGCUGGAGUCAAGUCCUGUUAACCAGGUUAAUUUAGAACUGCCCAGGGUGAAGGAAGAGUGAGUAUUGAGACUCGUCCUUAUUAUUAAGCAGCUUCUCCAUAUUUAUUUGUGGCAGCUGCUGUACAGGUAACUCUCUUAAUGCUACUAAAAUUAUAUAUAAAAGGAGAUAAAGCAGUGCAAAUACAGAGAAGAAUGUAGUAAAUUAUGGGUGUUAUAGUAUCAAUACUGGCAUUUGCUGUUUUAGGUACCUGAUUUAUAUUAUAAAAACUAUGUGUGUAUAGGGAUUAAAGGGAGAAAACCCCACCCAAGCAAAACUACAUUGGUAACAAAAUUUGUUUGCUUAACUCUGAAAGCACGGCUCCCCUUACGCAUCUGGAGGAUAAGCAACCAGCACCAAUACAAUUUCUUUUGUUCCACUUUUCUCGAUUUCAUCUUCAAUACAGUAAUAUUUAUCUACAAUGGGUGGUAGCUGGCUUGACAGGAACUGUGAGUCAAAAUGAUUUCCCAGGCAGAUGGUCUUUCAGGUUUUUGCCAAUUCCUUACUGUCUGUGCUGGCUUUCUCAUCUUUACCAAGAACAGCAGCAAAAGGCUAUGAUUCAAAUAUCUGAAACAGUACCUAUUGUACUGCUCCUAAAGUCUCCUUAGACUACAUGGUUUGAAUAGGAAUUGUUGACAUUCAACAACAAAAAAAUGCAUUUAAAAAGCCAAAGCCUGCUGUGACGCUGCUUAACUAUUACAGAGGGAAAGUUAGUUCUUUGUGAGCAAAGCCAGCCCUGCCCGGUAACAGUUGCUAUGCAGGGAGCUGUAUUAAGGCAGGAAGGGGUCACUUCAUACAGCCCUCCCUCAUCAUCUGCCUACAGCAUGUUACUGAGUUGUCAGCAUGUGUGAAUCCUAAUCUGAAGGCAAACGUUUCAGCUAACUUGGUAAAAAGUAAUGGUCGAUGAUUUUUCUCUCUUCACUGGCUUGCAUGUUUUCUGUAGCAACAAUAAGUGUUUUGCCUGCAAGCCCGAGAUCUAUCAGGAAUAGAGUUCUGACAUUUUAGUAACUGUAUUACAGAAAAAUACUAGAAUACCACAAUGAUUAGAAGUCCCGAUCUGGACUCCUUUGUUUGUUGUGCUGUGUGCUCAAAAAUAAUACCACCACCACCUUCCAACGCUACUUAUGAUCGGAUUCGGGAGUAUAAGCCUUUCAGAACACGGUAUUACACUCAUCGUGAUAUACUGGAGAUUGGGGCAGACAUUCAACAAGAACAACAUGAAAAGAAGGAGGCAGAGAUACAAGAGCGCAUUGAAAAAAUGAAAGCUGAACUUUGGGCUCAGGCUGAAAUGCACAAGGAAGAUGCAGUGGAUAAAGCUCUCAAAGAGGCAGCCGCUAACCACAGUGCGUUUGUACAAGACCUUAAACAAAAACUUGGAAAGGAAUUAAGGGAAGAGGUGAGGAAGGUGAAGGCAGAGAUGCAGCAGUACAUGGAAGAUGAGCAGAAGAGAGAGGCUGAAGCUGCAGAGCAGCGCGUGGCUCACAGAAUUCAGUGCACCCUCAUGGAGUGUGCCCGGGAGAAGAUGCAGGCGGUGGCCGAAGCCAGGAAGCAGGAGAGGGGGGCGGCCCUGAAGGAAGCAGCCAGGCAGCACAGAAAGCACUUAGAGCAACUCAAAGAAGAAAGUAUGUUAGCUGAGGAGCUAUAUCGUAAGAGUAUAGAGCAAUUAAACACAGAAAAAUGUCAUGAGUUUAAUAUUGCCCUGAGUAUCACACAAAAAGAGAAUCAGAUUGAGACUGAAAAACAGCUCAAAGAAGCAGAGACCGUCCAUCUUGAUGAGCUGGAAAAAGUGAUGGCUACACUGAAAGCAGCAGAAGAACAGGAAUAAAGUACUGGAACUCAAGUACUAGCAGCUGCAUCAUGAGAUACAUAAAGCUGAUGAAUGAUCUCUGUUGGGUUAGCUGAUUAAAGGCUCACCUCAGCACACACCAUGGAGCCCAGAGGCACAGCGGCAGCUGGGGGGAACCCCAACAACCCAGUCAGAGGAACGAGCCACCAGUCCACCCACAUGGACUGGGAGUGAGACCAACCACCACCGUGAGUCAACAGGAGAGGCUUUCUAGAGCACCUUGCAGACUGAGGGUGGAUACAGCCUGGAGGGCUUUUUCUGUGUGCAUAUAUAUGUGUGGAGGUCUACCUGCCAGCAGCUGGAGUUGGACCACAGAUGACAGGGGCUGUGGGCUCAGGGUGCCAGCAAUUGGAGAGACUGGAGUGCAUCUUACGUGGGCUUAGCCCACAUUUUAUCUGGGAUACAGUGGCUAGUACAGACCGUGGCUGUCUACAAGGGUAAGUGUUCUCUGUGAUGGACCUUAGUCAUGGGUACCCCAGGGCCCU